GCCGACGUAGCUCAAUGGUAGAGCAACUGAAUCGUAAUCAGUGAGUUGUCCGUUCAAGUCGGAUCGUCGGCU
rnacentral:tRNA from 1 species